UACGGAGGGUUAGCGUGUUCGGAAUUACUGGCGUAAAGCGCACGUAGGCGGAUUGGAAAGUUGGGGUGGAAAUCCCAGGGCUCAACCCUGGAACUGCCUCCAAAACUCCCAGUCUGGAGUUUGAGAGAGGUGAGUGGAAUUCCGAGUGUAGAGGUGAAAUUCGUAGAUAUUCGGAGGAACACCAGUGGCGAAGGCGGCUCACUGGCUCGAUACUGACGCUGAGGUGCGAAAAGUGUGGGGAGCAAACAGG
rnacentral:rRNA from 1 species